rnacentral:rRNA from 1 species
CGUAUGUAACCUACCUUUAUCAGGGGGAUAGCCUCUCGAAAGAGAGAUUAAGACCGCAUAACAUCACGAUACAGCAUUGUAAUGUGAUCAAAUAUUUAUAGGAUAAAGAUGGGCAUGCGGAACAUUAGCUAGUUGGUAAGGUAAUGGCUUACCAAGGCUACGAUGUUUAGGGGAUCUGAGAGGAUGACCCCCCACACUGGUACUGAGACACGGACCAG